rnacentral:rRNA from 1 species
AUGACAGUACCUGGUAAAGAAACCCCGGCUAACUCCGUGCCAGCAGCCGCGGUAAUACGGAGGGGGUUAGCGUUGUUCGGAAUUACUGGGCGUAAAGCGUACGUAGGCGGAUUGGAAAGUUGGGGGUGAAAUCCCAGGGCUCAACCCUGGAACUGCCUCCAAAACUAUCAGUCUAGAGUUCGAGAGAGGUGAGUGGAAUUCCAAGUGUAGAGGUGAAAUUCGUAGAUAUUUGGAGGAACACCAGUGGCGAAGGCGGCUCACUGGCUCGAUACUGACGCUGAGGUACGAAAGUGUGGGGAGCAAACAGGAUUAGAUACCCUGGUAGUCCACACCGUAAACGAUGAAUGCCAGUCGUCGGGCAGUAUACUGUUCGGUGACGCACCUAACGGAUUAAGCAUUCCGCCUGGGGAGUACGGUCGCAAGAUUAAAACUCAAAGGAAUUGACGGA